UUUUUUUUUUUUUUUUUUUUUUUUUGUGUAUUUCUUCCUGCCACUUUUCUGGACUGAUUGUCCAGUGUUCUGGAGCUAGUUUCUUUUGUCCCUGUCCCAGUAAUUUGAAGUGGGAACAUGUAAAGAAUGUGCUCAGUGGACUCCAGUGCUUAGCGGAGAGACCGAGAGGUCGGUGUGUUACUUAUUUCUAGGUUAAUUUAUCCAAAGUGGCAGGAAAUUAAGGUGCUGUCUGUCCCGAUGUCUCUGAAGGACUUGUUUCAUGAAAGCAGUGUGUCUUUACAGUCUGUUUCAGAACUUGUUCCUGAUGGUUAUAUGUCAAAGUGUAGGCAUUGUCAGAAAGCAGCCUGCAGCUCUCACUGAUGGGUGUCCUAACAGGCACCAGUUCUUCGUAUCUCCAGUCUCCUCUAAAUCACACCUCUUGGUUUCUCAGUAGUUGUAGUGAAUCUUCAGGGCACCUUACUAUCUUCUGGAUGGAUGAAACAUAAUCUGUUUGCAUCCUGUUUUCAUUUGCCCCUUGUGCCUUAGUUGACUCUAUAGAAUAGAUUUUCAUUUAAAACAGCUUAAGUGAUGAAUUGGCUUCUGUGGCUGCAUUCUUAUUCAUUAUGAUGGGUUUUGAUUCUUAGUUUGUAAUUACAGUACAAGAGUAGGAGAGGUGGCACAGUGGUUAAGAGCAUAUAUUCUUGCAGAGGACCUGGGUUUAAUUCCCGGUAUCCACAUGGUGGCCAUCCACACGUAACUCCAUUUCUAGGAUUCGGACCCGAAGGCACCAAACACUCACGUGUUACACGCAAAGCACUCACAUAAAAUGAAUAAAUCU
rnacentral:lncRNA from 1 species